rnacentral:snRNA from 1 species
AGAAGAAUCGCUUGAGCCUGGGAGGCGGAUGUUGUGGUGAACUGAGAUUGUGCCACUGCACUCCACCCUGGGGCACAGAG